AGAGUUUGAUCAUGGCUCAGAACGAAUGCUGGCGGCGUGGAUAAGACAUGCAAGUCGAGCGAGAUACAAGCUGUAGCAAUAUGGCUUGUGUUUAGCGGCGCAAGGGUGCGUGACACGUGGGCAAUUUGCCAUGAAGUUUGGAAUAACUCGCUGAAAGGCGAGCUAAUACCGGAUGUGGAACCAGAGAGGCAUCUCUUUGAUUCUAAAGCUGGGGACCGUAAGGCCUGGCGCUUCAUGAUGAGCCCGCGGCCUAUCAGCUAGUUGGUAAGGUAACGGCUUACCAAGGCGAAGACGGGUAGCUGGUCUGAGAGGACGACCAGCCACACUGGAACUGAGACACGGUCCAGACACCUACGGGUGGCAGCAGUCGAGUAUUUUUCACAAUGGGCGAAAGCCUGAUGGAGCGACGCCGCG
rnacentral:rRNA from 1 species